CAUCGGGCUGAGAUCUAAAGAGGCAGCUGACUCUCCCUGUGGGAAUGGCAGCCCGGUUUUUGUGGGCUGGCAUUCGAAGUGAGGCCCUGAGCCAGAAGCCUCCGCAGUCACACUGACAGAGGCCAGGAGAGGUGAGCACCCGGCUGGCCACAGUGUCACCACUCCAGGGGGGCCUGUGAAGACCAGUGGCUCUUGCUGCUCAUUGAGAGAGAAAAAUGCCUUUACGUUACUCUUCUCCAUUAU